AUGUAUGCAUUAGUUCAUGUUUUUUCCAAUACCAAGAACUAUUGUCAUUGUCAAAGCUAUUUACCAAGAACUUUGUUUCAGGUUAAUAUAUUUUCAUGUCUCUUCACAAUGUGUUCACAUAAGGGCACAAUGUGUUUAUUCGAGAGUAAUUUGAGAUUAUUUUACAAAUGUUUGCAAUGGAAGUUCAGUUCUUAG